rnacentral:rRNA from 1 species
UACGAAGGGGGCUAGCGUUGCUCGGAAUUACUGGGCGUAAAGCGCACGUAGGCGGAUCUUUAAGUCAGGGGUGAAAUCCUGGAGCUCAACUCCAGAACUGCCUUUGAUACUGAGGACCUUGAGUUCGGGAGAGGUGAGUGGAACUGCGAGUGUAGAGGUGAAAUUCGUAGAUAUUCGCAAGAACACCAGUGGCGAAGGCGACUUACUGGACACAUAUUGACGCUGAGG